AUGUACAUUCCUACAUUGAUAAUGCAUUGGAUCCCAUUAGAAGUAUGCAUUUAAGCAUGCUUGGGAUAGAGUAAUACUCAUAUGGGUGACAUCUUGGGAAGUCCUAGUGUUUUACAUU
rfam:Picea glauca, whole genome shotgun sequence.